CUAUUGUCUAAUCUUUAACAUUUGCUUCUAACUAAUUUAAUAGCAACUUCCCACAUUUUUCAUGGAACAUAUAAUUAGAAUUCAUGGUUAAUAUAGAAUAUUUUCAUAUAUCAUUAUUGAUAAUUAGUAUGCUAAAGUCUCACAUGCAUGGCAUCGAUAGUAUGCUAGUUUAUUUAAUAAAGGAUUAUUUGUGAUGGCAAG
rnacentral:lncRNA from 1 species